rnacentral:rRNA from 1 species
AGUAAAAGUCGUAACAAGGUUUCCGUAGGUGAACCUGCGGAAGGAUCAUUACUGAGUUACGGGUCUCCUUGUGAGCCCGAACCUCCAACCCUUUGUUAAAAACACUUUGUUGCUUUGGCAGGCCCGUCCAAUCCCUUCACCGGGAGACGACCGCCGGGGGCGUUUAGUCACCUCUGGUCAGUGCUUGCCGAUAGCCUAUUCAAAAUUCUUUAUUAAAUAAUGUCUGAAAAAUUAUAAUUAAAUAUAAUUAAAACUUUCAACAACGGAUCUCUUGGUUCUGGCAUCGAUGAAGAACGCAGCGAAAUGCGAUAAGUAAUGUGAAUUGCAGAAUUCAGUGAAUCAUCGAAUCUUUGAACGCACAUUGCGCCCUUUGGUAUUCCGAAGGGCAUGCCUGUUCGAGCGUCAUUAUCAACCCUCAAGCCCGGCUUGUUAUUGGGUCCUUAUCGUUAAAGAUAGGCCCGAAAGAUAAUGGCGGCGUCACAAAUGACCCCAGAUGCAGCGAGCUUAUAGCAUACAUUGAAAGGUUUUUGUGGCCCGGCCUUAACGAGAAGCAAUUCUCAAUUUUUCAAAGGUUGACCUCGGAUCAGGUAGGAAUACCCGCUGAACUUAAGCAUAUCAAUAAGCGGAGGAAAAGAAACCAACAGGGAUUGCCCCAGUAACG